GCCCACAUUUAUACCGAUCUUGUCUGAUACUAGAAGGUAAAUAGGGUUGGGCCUGGCUGCUACUUAGAUGGGAGAACACAAGAGAAUAACUUCUCCAGGUAAGGUUGGGA
rnacentral:rRNA from 1 species